rnacentral:rRNA from 1 species
UACGAAGGGGGCUAGCGUUGUUCGGAAUUACUGGGCGUAAAGCGUGCGCAGGCGGCUAUCCAAGUCAGUGGUGAAAGCCCGGAGCUCAACUCCGGAACUGCCAUUGAAACUGUUUAGCUCGAGUACGAGAGAGGUGAGUGGAAUUCCCAGUGUAGAGGUGAAAUUCGUAGAUAUUGGGAAGAACACCGGUGGCGAAGGCGGCUCACUGGCUCGCAACUGACGCUCAUGCACGACAGCGUGGGGAUCAAACAGG